AAAACAGCUGUACAUCAAACAAACGAACGAACGAACUGCUGUGUUUGCGGAGCGGAGACGUGGCGAGAACCCGUUUGAGAUGGCAGAGGAGGCGGCAGGUGUGUCGCAGAGAUGAGACAGAGUUUUCUGGUGUGCUGUGUUGGCAGGGAGGGGAAGCGUGAGCACACACAUGUGUGAUGUAUGUGGAGACGAGCGCGAGCGUGCGUGGUUCUCCCCAACACUGCUCUACUGUGCUCUGCAGCCAUCACGGCUUCAGAUGUAGGAGUUCCUCGCAUGCCGAGAAGUUUCCUGUAUAAUCAACAGUAAAGCCAUGUUUCUGAGGAUAUAUGUAAAGGCUCGCGAUGUUACAGUGCUUAUAAAGUUAACCAACCUAACUGCUGCUGCGCUUGACUGCCUUUCGUGUACGCAUUUGAGGAUUUUAUGAAACCAAAAUAAACUCUUCAAAGGAUAAACCAUAUGGAAGAACGCAAUCAAAGCCUCCGAUCCAUGUGGAGAAGGCAAACCCGUCCAGCCCCCCGGUAUAGAAAGAGACGCAGCAGCUCAGCUUCCAUAUGGUGCAUACAGCUGCACACAUAGGGAAUGUCUUACAAUCACAGGCUAUAGGGAACAAUGGCUCGGAAGACAGUGAUGUCACUGCAGACUGUCCUCCUCACAACAAUGUGUCCUUCAAACGUCUGGUGUCGUCGUGGCGAUGGGACAAUCGUUCCACUGUCCCCGUCCUCCCAGAUAGGCUGCAGCCACCUACGGUUGCCUCUGUCCAUUCACACCACACAUGGGUGGUAUGUGGCCUUCCACGGCCCACGUAGAGCAGCUCAACGGAGGCAUUAUGCCAUCUGAGGGUCGCACUAUUCGUGCUUAGCUUUCCCCCGGAUCGCAUGUUACUACUAACCCUGGGGGUUUGCGCAGCAGGGCGUGCUGUAUGAGCGUGCGAUGCCUCGCGUCGAGUGAGUCCCGAACGCCGCCGCCAGACCUGGGUCAGGAAGACGAGCUUCUCCUCAAUGGGCAACACCAGCUUCACCGAGGGGAAGACGGCCUUAACUCUGGGCAACACCACCAUCAAGAGGGGGAAGAGCAAACUGGCCAUGGGGAACUCCUCCAUCACCCGGGGCCGCAGCACCACGUCUCUGGGCUCCUCCACCAUCACCAGCGGGAAGACCAAGAUCUCCCUGGGCGGCGCCAGCUUCAGCAGAGGCACCACCACCACCUCCUUUCGAAAAGCCUUCUUCCCCAAACGCAAGACGCUCUAGAUGAGAGGGGGCCGCAUCGCCGGGUGGGGGGGACUGGAGCCAAAUGUGAGCAGGGAGCCGGAGCAUCACAGCAAACUUUGGGACACCAGCACAGCAUCUGCACAGGGAGCGGGAUUGAACUCAUGUUUGGAGCUUGGACUUUGUUUGGUCAUGCCGGGUUUAUCAAAGAAACAGUCUUGGCAUAAUCGGCAGGAUCAGAUGACGAACUCUUCGCUGGCGACGAUCUCUGUGCAGCAGUGCUGACCUGUCGGAAGGAGACACCCUGUCCUGCUCUGGACUGGCUAACAAACUCAAAAACAAAUAAAAUAAUGAUAAAUUACAUAAUAAAAAAACCAAACAUGUUUACGGGCUCAAAUAAAAUUAAAAAAAAACAUCAGGGCGUGUCUAUCUCCCCGUGAACAAUAUUGUCUCAGCAAAGUGAUUCAUGGUCAGCGAAAGUGUGGAGAGAUGGAGCGGCAAGCUGGGCAGUAAGGAUGAGAGUGUGAAUCUCUGAGAGGGUCACGAUGGUCUUAAAGGAGACAGAGUUAGCCGACCAGAUGGAGAUUGUUUUCCAAAUGUGGAGCCAGUUCAGCCUUCGAUGUUGAAAGAAGAUGUAAAGUUUCAGAAAUCAUCUAGAACCCAAAGCAGUUCUGCAAAAAUGUUUACUAUGAUUGCUUCAAAGCAGAAAGUUGGACUAAAUUAUCUGAGUGUCCCCCUGUCAACCUCACCCGGGACAAAAACAGGGAGCAGCCCGUGAGCUAAAGUGUGCUCCGAACAGGUUUACAGAACGUCUCAUCAUCUCUGCUGGAGCCACACCCCAAAAAAAGGCUUCCACCUCAGCAGCACCUUUCAGACGUCUCCUGCCUCUCCGCUCCGCAGCUGAAAGACUAACUCUUUGGAAACGCGCUUGUCUCACUCGUCUCGUCUAUUCUUCCUCAGGUCCGGCGCAUCCACAGCAUCACCUCCUGCAGUUACGGACGACGUCGCAGGACCUUUUAGCCAGACUACAGCCGCCAACGGGACAAUUCUGAGCAUUAGAAUCCAAAACGAGUCCAAAGGAAUUCCGUUUGCCCCGUCCGACGCUCCGUCUACUCAGGCUGGAGCUGGAAUCAUAUUGAAAUUCGCUGCAGGAGGCCUCAGAAAAGCCACAUUAAAAAAAAGAAAACGUGUUGCUAGGGGCAACGGCACAUAGCUCCAGUAGAUCACUAUGACACAGCUGUCACUGUGGACAGUCUCAAAAUCCCUUUUCAGAUGCUGUCUGUGUCUCAAAAACUGAAUUUUUCUAGUUUCACUUCCACAGUUUUGGGAAAUUGCAGCUAUCUCUAAUUCUCUGAUGCUUUAUUUUUUUUCCAUUUUGGGGUCUGUUCAUCACAAAAUGUCUUUCUCAUAGAGCCCCCAUGCAGAGCUUGUGCAGAAACGUGUUUCCUUCUUUCAUUUUUCUUUUUGUUGUUGUCCCCAAACCACUUGAUUUUGUAAAGCAUUGACAAAACAUCUUGUCUAGAUUUAGGUUCCUGUCCUAUUAGUGAAGAAAAUAGAAAAGAAAUAUAAUAAAUUUAACCCCAAUCUGGAUCAGGAAAAUCCCCUCUUACAUAGUAAAGCAAAAAGUCAAGACUUUAGAUUUCUGAUACUUUUACAGUGAAGGACAGACUACACUACACUAGAGUACACAAAAGCUCAGCCUGAUGUACUCAUCAAGCACUAAUGACAUUUUCCUCCUGCACUCGGGCAGAAGCUCAGUUGCAGUAACAUCUAUGUCUCAGUCAGCGGGUCAAAGCCUGGAUCCCGAACCACCAUGAUGCCUGCUUCAACGUCCAGCUAGAAAUCCCCCGCUGACUCAGGAUCUCUCCUAAUGAAGCCUGAAAGAUCAGCCUAGAACUACUUGAAUCGCCUCUGAUCCCACUGGAAUCUGCAGGAACAACUUGGAGGAGACCCUCGCAGCGACACGGAUGUCAUAAAAACGCUAACCUUUGUUUUUCCAAACAAAAAAAAAAGAGAGAAAUGUUGUGAGCACUACUGAUAGAAAGCUGUUUAAGAUUCAUUUCUGUCUCGUCUGGUUUGUUUGUCAUUAAAAUGCCUUAACUAUUUCCUGUGUCUCAGGAUAAAGUGAGAAGAUGUUUAGUGUCCCAGCUAACCACAGAUUGUGCUUUAACUCCACUGUCAGGUUAGCUUUUCUUUGCCGCCAUGCUCCGCCACGCUCACCUGUGUGUUUUACCUCUUUGUAAGAGUCACUAGAAUGAAGACAGGACCUUGGACAGAGAAGGAACUGAAAUAAAACCGCUUGACUGUGUGCCUACCUCAA